AAUCGAGUUAAGCUUAGAAAACUAUGUCACAAAAUCAAUAUUGAUAGUCGAUAACUCUACGUCCCGAUCAAGAAUAGAUAUACUUGAUGGGCUCAGAGAUGCUUUCGUCUGCCUGUUAGCUUUCAACUGAAUUGCGGUCAAAGAUUGCUUUUUGGCUAUGUUUGCCCUUGUCUGACCAGCUGCAAAUUCUCAAAAAAAAUUUCUCAACAGCUGCAUUCACAUUUUUGACAGCCACAAGCUGUAUUCGAUGUGUGCGUGUGUGUACGUGUGUGUGUGUGUGGAGAGGGUCUAGAUGUUCAACAAUAACCACGAACAUUUCAAGGCAGCUGCAACACUUUGGGUAAUCGGAAAAAUUCCAGUGCAAUCGGUUGAUUCGCAAAUAGAGCAGCAGACGUCAGCGGCAGACCUUAAGCGGUCUGAGCUUAGUUGAGUCUGUUAUCAAUUGCCUUGGCAAGGACACACACUCACAUACACGCACAUACACACAAGCGCUCACAUAUAUUAACAGCAGACAUGGAAGAGCGUGGAAAAGAAGAAGUUGACACUGUGCAUACCCUGGCGGGCGUGAAAAAAUAAUAAAACAUAAAUGCCAUUUGACCUUGUGUCGCGCGCAGAAU